rnacentral:rRNA from 1 species
UACGUAGGGAGCAAGCGUUGUCCGGAAUUACUGGGCGUAAAGGGCGCGUAGGCGGGAACUUAAGUUAGAUGUGAAAUCAUCGGGCUCAACCUGGUGACUGCAUUUAAAACUGGGUUUCUUGAGGGCAGGAGAGGAAAGUGGAAUUCCUAGUGUAGCGGUGAAAUGCGUAGAUAUUAGGAGGAACAUCAGUGGCGAAGGCGACUUUCUGGACUGUACCUGACGUUGAUGCGCGAAAGCGUGGGGAGCAAAC